rnacentral:lncRNA from 1 species
GUUCUGACAAUUCUGUUUCGGGUUACUCGCUCCUUGGUAUCCACGAUUCCCACUGGCUGCUCUUUAUACUCUAAGUCUGCUUUUAUUUUGAUCCCUCGGGGUUCAAUUCUUUGCUCAGGCACUUUCAAACAUUUCCGUAGUUGCGACACAUGGAAGACCGGAAAGAUCAAGCUCAUCUCUUCAGGUAACUAAAUCUUAUAGGCCACUGGGCCUUUCCUCUCUAGCA